CGCACCGGCACGUGACCGCAGGCUCAGAGCUUCGCAUCCACCUUCCUUCUAUCAGACCUAGGCGCAGGUUUAAUCAGAUCUGAAUCCUAGGAUCACAGAUAUAAAUUAGACAGCUUGAAGAGAUUUGAAGUGAUCCACCCUUCUGCUUUCUACCUUCAGAAAAUUCAAAUGUCUUGUUGAACGUUGCACAGAUACUAAGUAGGAUAGCUGGGUUUUGAACACAGGUCUUCUGAUUUCAAAUCCAGCAACCUAUUUACUAAUCCAGUACCUCCAAGUGGAAGCAUCCUCUAGAAGAAGUGAAGAUCGUCUUCAUUCUCCUGCGGACCUUUUGAACCAUCACUUUGUACCAUGUAGAGGUGUAGUUCUCUAACCCUCCAUCUUUCUCCAAGCCUUCCGAUCGGAUCAAAAGUUUUCAUCAAGUCUUCCAUCAUGUGUCAUCAGCAUCUUUUUGUUCUUGUGGUCACUCGUUAUAUUCACCACCCUUCGUGGCAAGCAGUUAGAAAUGUGGAAGAAGGUUGUCAAAGUGCAUUGACCAUUUAUGGAAAUCAAGGACAAAAAUAAGCAUUCAGCAUGGAUCUACGUAAAACUGAUGGGACAGUGUGCGGUCCUGGUCCACAUCAAUUUCAGUUUCCAAGUUCUAGUCCACAGCACAUCCCUAAACUCUCACUUCAGGGUGGUAAGAACAAAAACAGCAGCAUGAGUAAUAUUAGUGUGUGGCAAACACACAUAUUAAGAGUGCAUAUGCUAUGCUGGCAUUCUGCGGAGAAGGAUAGGUUUUUAACUUAUGGAAGAAAGAAGGUGUGUAGUGGAUGUUUAUAUUAGCAGCUAAUGUUUUCAAAUGCAUUUUUGGGCUAUAAGACCACUUUCACUGGCAAGCUUUGUCAGUUUGUAAUGUUUCUUAGGAAGCAUUUUUCAAAGAAAUUAGGCUUUAAUGAAAAUACUCAGUGGACAUCCACUGAUAUCCCUGAUAUUAAAUAAGGAGCGAACAAAUAAAAGAAAAGGAGGACACUUCUCUGUCCUUUCACAAGCCUCUCUUUAUUCUCCGACUCUCAGUUCUUUGCCAUCAUAAGGGGAAAAAAAAGCAGUUGUUCAGUGGCUCUCUAGGAUUUAAGGGGUUGAAAAGUCUGUCACAAAUGUCAUUAUGUUCCCAUUCAGGAAGAAGUAAUAUGUCGCUUUCUUCCUCCUGUCCUGGUUCUCACAGUUAGUCACAGACAAUAUCAAUAUGCCUAGCAAGAGGAAAAAGAUAAAACAGUAGCUACAAAAGGGAGAAUCAAUCAUUUCAAAAGUUUUUUCCCCCUUUUUCCAGUGCCAUCAAUCUUUCAUUAUUUUCAUGUUGUGACUUUCUGAAUCUUGGUUGGCUUUGUGAUAUGGAGUCCUUCAGGUUUUUGCAGGAUGGAGAGGAUCUCAAGGCUACAUUUUAUUGCAGAUGUCAGAAAGAACUGGGUGUGAAUCUCCACUCAGAUGUUUAUGUGUAUACUUCAGUUUCCUAAUAUUAUGAAGAAUUUGUGGAAUGUUGGUGGCUCCUCUCUCCACAUGUCUCUCCCGAAGAGUCUCUGAAACCACAUCUGUCUCUCUCUAAAGAAGCCCUGGCACCAACUCCAUCUUUGUUUCAGGAACACAGUGUGGUAUCAGCAUUCUCUAUAUCAAAGGUGUCAAACUUGAGGCUGGCAAAACUCCUGAGUGGGUUUGUAGUUGAAGUCUAUGAAGCCAGAGGAUAGAAUGAGGAAAUCAAGAGAGUUCUAAGGCUGCCAUCUAGGCCUAGCUGCUUUGUUCUCCUUUCUAGUGCCCUUAAGCUUUGUAUUUCUUGAUUGCAAUGAAUAGGACUACCAGGAUCAGUGGGUUACCGGCUUUGUUGGGGAAGUCAUAUAUUUCCAUAUAUUAAUUUUCACUCCAGACAAAUAUGCAUGUGCACACACAUCCACAUCCAC